rnacentral:rRNA from 1 species
UACGGAGGGGGCUAGCGUUGUUCGGAAUUACUGGGCGUAAAGCGCGCGUAGGCGGACCUGCAAGUCGGGGGUGAAAGCCCGAGGCUCAACCUCGGAACUGCCUUCGAUACUGCGGGUCUCGAGUCCGGGAGAGGUGAGUGGAAUUCCUAGUGUAGAGGUGAAAUCGUAGAUAUUAGGAAGAACACCAGUGGCGAAGGCGGCUCACUGGCCCGGUACUGACGCUGAGGCGCGAAAGCGUGGGGAGCAAACAGGG